rnacentral:rRNA from 1 species
UACGUAGGGUGCGAGCGUUGUCCGGAAUUAUUGGGCGUAAAGGGCUCGUAGGCGGUUUGUCGCGUCGGGAGUGAAACACUGGGCUUAACUCAGUGCUUGCUUCCGAUACGGGCAGACUAGAGGUAUUCAGGGGAGAACGGAAGUUCCUGGUGUAGCGGUGAAAUGACGCAGAUAUCAGGAGGAACACCGGUGGCGAAGGCGGUUCUCUGGGAAUGUCCUGACGCUGAGGAGCGAAAGUGUGGGGAGCGAACAGG